ensembl:lncRNA novel transcript, antisense to EPB41L3
CUUCUGGAUCCUCACACAGCUCUGCUGAAGAAAGUGGCUGUAUCUGCAGCCUUUCUUUUCUCACAAGCCUCUUCCUUCCACUUGGCAAUACAAACGCAAACCGGCCCCAUCCCCAAGGCAGACAGUGCACUGUCCCAGGACACAACACCUCUAGUGGGCAGAAAGAAGAAACUGUCUAAGAGAUUGGUGCUGACUUCGAGAAAACAAUUUUUUUCAAUAAUUAGAAUUACUUCAAUGACUGAUUAACAAAUUGUUAGCCACUGAGGCCUCCUUUUACCAUCCUCUGUCACCCCUCAAAUCAAAUAGGUUUUAUUUCUCUGCUGUUGCCUGGCAACGGAGAUGUGGCAAGAGAUGUCAGAGGUUAAGGAGCAGACUAAAGUCAUUAUGGAAAGCAAGCUCUUAUCAGCAUUUUCCAUCUAACUUUGUAAUCUUUGAAAUAAAAUAGUUUUCAUUGUA